CCUUCUUCCUUCCCCUGCGGCCGACGGCCGGGAGACUGGGCGGGCGCCCUGCGACCCGGAAGUAGUUCUGGAGGAGGUGGGCCUGAGGGGUUGGAGCUGGUGACGUUGCCGCCCGGGGCUCCGGCGCUUGUUACCGCCUGUUUGCGGCUCCUGCGAGAAAACUGUGGCCAGGUCUGCGGGAACCGCACCUAUGGCUUCCGUGCUGUCCUACGAAAGCCUGGUCCACGCCGUGGCGGGAGCCGUGGGAAGCAUGACAGCAAUGACAGUAUUUUUUCCCUUGGAUACAGCUCGACUUCGACUUCAAGUUGAUGAGAAAAGAAAGUCCAAAACGACACACAUGGUGCUCCUGGAGAUCAUUAAAGAAGAAGGCCUCCUGGCACCAUAUCGAGGGUGGUUUCCAGUUAUCUCCAGUCUCUGCUGCUCCAAUUUUGUCUAUUUCUACACUUUUAAUAGCCUCAAAGCAGUCUGGGUCAAAGGUCAACAUUCUACUACUGCAAAAGAUCUGGUAGUUGGAUUUGUUGCAGGAGUGGUGAAUGUGCUGCUAACAACUCCACUCUGGGUAGUAAACACCAGACUGAAGCUGCAAGGGGCGAAAUUUAGGAAUGAAGACAUUGUACCAACCAACUACAGUGGUAUUAUUGAUGCUUUUCACCAGAUCAUUCGCGAUGAAGGAAUCCUGGCUUUAUGGAAUGGCACAUUUCCCUCCUUGCUGUUGGUCUUCAAUCCUGCCAUCCAAUUCAUGUUCUAUGAAGGUUUAAAACGGCAGCUUUUAAAGAAACGAAUGAAGCUUUCUUCUGUGGACGUGUUCAUCAUUGGUGCAAUAGCCAAAGCCAUUGCCACCACGGUCACCUAUCCUCUGCAGACAGUACAGUCAAUUCUGAGGUUCGGACAUCACAGACUGAACCCAGAAAACAGAACACUGGGGAGUCUUCGGAACAUUCUCUAUCUUCUUCACCAACGAGUAAGCUGCAGAUAUGGAGAAACCUUUAGGCCACCAGAGGGCAUUGCAGUCAGCCUCCUUUAUCAUCACUAUAAAUCACUGCUGUCAGAGAUGCCUAGUGAAAAUUGUUCCCAGUUUAACCAAAAAGAGAAGCAUUCUUAGACCCGAUGAGCAAUCUGCAUAGGACCUGUGGCUUGAACUUGGUGGAGCACUACCUUGAAGCACCCUUUUUAUCUAUAAAAGCGAAGAAUGGAGUAUGAUUUAUGCAGUAAUGCCCAUGUUAAAAAGAACAGGACCAUCAUUUGUGUGUCAAGCUUAGGUAAGAAUGUCUCUAACACAAAGUUCACUGUGUGCUUUUUAUGUCUUUGGUAGUUUUGGAACAUAAUACACUGGCUAGAGCGCUUAUCAAGUAACCUCUGCAUUAAGUUGUAUUUCUCUGUUUACUUCCCUACCUCCCUGGAUAGAUUAAGGGCCCAUACUUCUCAUCACCAUUACUGUGUCCCAGGCAUUAUUAUGAGUACUCUAUAAAUAUUUGUCCAAUGAGUAUAUAUAUUGAGGGAGGUGGGGUAUAGUGUUGAAUUUAGGUUUGUCUAAGCCAGAGUACCUAGAGUUGCAAUCCCCGGGAUAGUAUGUAUUUUGACAGAAAGUAAGACGUGGCUUCCCCAAGAUUUAGCAUCUUGGCAAUUUCCCCACAUUAAAUACAACAUGAUACCUGUAUUCCUUAGUCUGAAGUGAAUAAAGUGUGUGAUGUGUCCAGGCAGAAGGGAGCUGAGAAGCAGAUGCACAAGCUUAGCACUAUGUAAGCAGAAAGAAUACUAUGUAAUUAAAACGAGAAUGCUGGCAUCAUCCUUCUCACAUGUUUUUCAUCUGUGCUCCUGGUCCUAGAGUGCAGUUUUCAUUUUUGUGUCUCUGGUACCUAACAGGAGACUUAAUAAUGGUGCUUAAUAAGUAUUGUUGCCUUGUACCAAAGGUACUCUGCUAAUCAAGAAGUCAACAAAGAAUUUUUGAGCAUAUACCACGUGCCAGCCACUUUGCUAAAGAAUAGGGAUACAGUGUGAGCAGAAUAGAUGAGGUCCCUGCUCUUGUGGGACUUGGGUUGGGAUGGAAGGAGAUAGCAAGGAGCAUACAAACCAGUAAGGGGAUUUUAGGUACAGAUAAGUGCUGUAAACAGUAUAACAUAGGGAGCAGGUAGAGUAGGUAGAGCUAACAUACUCUAAAGAUAUUUUAGUUACCAGCCUCCGUGUGAGAGAGAGUAUUCAAGCAAUGUGUGCAAGCGCUGAUAUGAGGAAGGCGGUAGAAUACCAGAGCAGGAGAACACCAAGCCAUGCAGAGAUAGAAAAGGGCUCGAAUGCAGUAUAAAGUCGCCAACUAAGGGAAUUUAUAUUAAAUGUAUAUGUAUAUAUUAUUAUGAUGAUUGAGACUUUUCCCUCAGCUUUGGGUCUUUGUAUUAGACUAUGUGGCAGGUGAUAUGAGACCAGCCUUUCUUCCGCCCAAACUUCAUAAAUUCGAUUUCUAAACUUGAUUCACUAUCCUCAUAAACAGUAUCUUCUUUAUCUGAGGUGCCGAUUGGGCUUUACGUGUGCUAUACUAAGUUCCAAAAUACUGUUUCCACGCAGAAUGGCCUCCCUGAGCAUUCUAGGUCCAGCAGGUAGUGGCUGCAGAUUGCCAUGAUUCUACUUCCACUCAUGAACUUGGUGCUCUUUCCCCCACCUACCAAAUUCCACCACCAAAUUCCCCCAAAUCAGAACUUGGUUCAGAACUGAAUUUAGGCAUGACCAACUAAAAUCUGGAGUAAGUUAAGCAGUCACUUUUCUAUUAUCUUUUUUCUUCUUCUUUUUUUGGCCACACCAUGCAGCAUGUGGGAUCUUAGUUCCCCGACCAGCAAUCGAACCUGUG